rnacentral:rRNA from 1 species
CACACGACUCUCGGCAACGGAUAUCUCGGCUCUCGCAUCGAUGAAGAACGUAGCGAAAUGCGAUACCUGGUGUGAAUUGCAGUAUCCCGUGAACCAUCGAGUCUUUGAACGCAAGUUGCGCCCGAGGCCAUCCGGCCGAGGGCACGCCUGCCUGGGCGUCACGC